CUUCAUAUCUGGAUAUUGUUAUAGUAAUACACAAUAAACGUCAGAUCUAGAGAGUAUAUCAUGUUCAUCCUUAUCAUUCCUUAACAUACUGAAAAUAGUUUGGUGCCUUAUAUAAGUUAUUCUCCACUUAGUGGUUUUAGCAAUAAUCUUUAUUAUUCUACACAUAGGAAGAUAAUAUGUUCGAGUAAUGUAAAGAUUCCUCACAUGAUGUUCAACAGUGUUGCACCUAACAGUUCUGUUACCAUUAUGAGAAUAAAAAAUUCAUUAAAUAAUCCAAGUUUGAAGUGUUUACUAUGUAAGGUCAGAAAAUUAGAUAGGCUUAUGACUAAUAAGUAAUUUCCAAUUUUCUGAUAAGUUGAGAAGAUUAAGAUGGCCACAGUUUUUGGCCAUCCUGGUUUUUUUUGGAGAUGCAAAAAACACAUAAGUAGCCUAUUACUCUUAGGUCAAUAUUUAAUAAUACAUGCUUGCCAUUUUAUAACAUUGAAAGAAUGGUUACCAAGUGGUGUUUGCAGAGGAUGAAGCUUUAUGACAAAAUUGCUGCAUCAUCUGAGGACUCUGUUGAAAGAGUGCCUGAAAUUGAAUCUAUGUCAGAUGAAAACCUUCAUGUUAGAACAUAUUUCAGAUGCCCAAACUAAGAUCCAACACCUUUAGAGGCUAUUGUUAUAAAUAAAAAAGAGCACUCUCAAUUAGUAACACACUUGCUGGUGUUAUGACAGAACUAAUGAUUAGACAUAAAGAUGCAAGUUCUUAGUUCUUGCACGCCAAGUAUUAAAUUUUACAUCAAAUAUGUUGACAACCUAUGCAUAAUGUGAAGACAAAAUCAUCAGACACAAGAUAUUCUCUCCUAAUUAUUGAACUCUACUUUGGGUCUAAAGUUGAAGUUAGAGCAAUUAUUGAAAGAUGAAUUCUAUUUCUUGGAUGUCCACAUUAUUAUUCAAGGACUGGAUUAUAUAAUGAGAAUCUAUAGAAAAAAAUCUACCUAUUCUCCAGUAUGCAUCCCUGCUUGUUCACAAGACUUAAUGAGCUAUAAGGUUUCUGCAUUUAAGGUUCUUUUAAAAGAAUAUUCUCAUUAUUCUACCUUAUUCUUAAAUAAAGCACUGUUUGCAGUAUACAUUUACUAUUUACUUUGGUCAGAAACAUACAAACGUUUUUGGUGGUUCUUGCCACCAUCAUCGGGUGGCAUGCGCUGUUUGGGCCAAUAGACAUUACAAAAGAAUGUGGAACAGUAAUUAUCUCAGCGUGGUCCAACAACCCGCCAUUGCUCAAAGCCUCAACCUUUAACUUCUUUUUUAAACGCGCAUAUAUGUAUAUCACGAACCUGCAUGAACUACGGAAAGAGUUAGACUAUGUUUAUCAGAUAGGCCAUGCACAUGGAUAUAUGAACUGUUUUGUAAAUGGACUCCACCAUAAGGUAAAAAAGACAUACACAAACAUAAUACAACUCAGACAAGAGACAACCACAGUGAAGACUUCUUACCUGCUCCAUAUGAAACCACCAGAUUGAAGUCCGUUUAGGAAAAUUAUAUAAGCAACGGCGGCUCCACGGCGGGAAUGGGGGGCUUUAAUGUGCGUUUUUGGUACGGUGGUGACGCU
rnacentral:lncRNA from 1 species